AGGGGUGUCCUUCGGGAAGCCCCGUGACAGGUGCUGCAUGGCUGUCGUCAGCUCGUGUCGUGAGAUGUUGGGUUAAGUCCCGCAACGAGCGCAACCCUCGCCUUUAGUUGCCAUCAUUUAGUUGGGCACUCUAAAGGGACUGCCCGGGUUAACCGGGAGGAAGGUGGGGAUGACGUCAAGUCCUCAUGGCCUUUAUGCCCANGGCUACACACGUGCUACAAUGGCCGGUACAAAGGGCUNNNAAAAAAAAGAGGGGGAGCCAAUCCCAUCAAAACCGGUCUAAGUUCGGAUUGGAGUCUGCAACUCGACUCCAUGAAGUUGGAAUCGCUAGUAAUCCCGGAUCAGAACGCCGGGGUGAAUACGUUCCCGGGCCUUGUACACACCGCCCGUCACACCACGA
rnacentral:rRNA from 1 species